rnacentral:tRNA from 1 species
GCCCAGGUGGCGGAAUUGGUAGACGCGCUAGAUUCAGGAUCUAGUUCCCGCGAGGGAGUGGAAGUUCGAGUCUUCUCCUGGGCA